AUUAAAAGUAAUUUAAUUCUGAAUUAAGACUUUAAGUUUAUUCAAAUCUUUUUACUACUUUUUUUCUUUAUGCUUCACAUUUCUCUUCACCUCAAUCUAAUUCAUCCCAUCUCUAAUCUUUUGAUAUUUUGACUUUAAUUUUUAAUUAUUUGGUUUGACUUUGUAUUAAAACAAGGAUUUUUAUUUCGUUGAGUAAAGCAAAAAAUGUUGAAAUACUCAAGUAAUUAUUGAUUGUAGAGGUAAAUUGUUCAAAUAGAAGCGAGUAUAUCUUCCAUUUUGCAUUACAAUUUGUAAGCCACUCAGAAUUAUUAUUACUCUCACCAAAUAUACUAAUAAUACAUGGAUUAAAGUAAAAUUGAGUGGAAUUAAAAUUUGAAUUGCUUGAAAUAGUCUGUUUCUUACUAAAGAGAUUAUAAAAAAAUAAGUUAUUUGGAUCAUUAAUUACAUCAAUUUUCUUCCAUUUACUAAUAUAGAAUUGUUGCUUUUCAUUAAUAAUUUCCAAUAUAUUAUUAUCCUUUUUAUUACUAAAAUUCAAAUCUCCCUUAUUUAAACCAUUAGGAUUAACCAAUUCAACUUCCUCAAGAAUAACAGAUUCCAAAAUUUCUUUUGAUAUAAUUUCUUUUGGUAAGAAUGAACCUAAAUCAAGAAAAGAGUUAGGAUUUUCAGAAUUUACUGGAAGCUCCAACCAUGUAGAAUUCAUUUCUCUCAAAAAUUCUUCCGAAUUCUCCAAAAGAUUAAUAUCUUGUUCUUUAAUAUUCUUUUCUAUUGAUAGUCUUGGAUAAAACUGUGAUUGCCAAACCAUCCACCAAGGAGGACUAGUAAUAAUAGAAUCAUCCAAAUUCAAAGAAUUUUGGUAAAUAUAAUUAAUAAAUGCAAUAUUAAAUCCAAAAUUACUUAAGUUAUUCUUGAAAACUAAGUCAUUUUGAUCAAAAUCCAUAUUUCCUUUAAUUUCUGAAAACUUUUUAAUCAACUUUGGUGCUUCAAUUGAAUAAUCAUUAUUAGUAUCAUUUUUAAUUGAUUUAAAAUUCUUAAAAUAGUUUUCAUUUAUACCAAAAUCAAAAUCCUCGUCUUCAUUAAUUAUUUCUUCAUCUUCUUGUUCUAUUUCAUAUUUUAUUGGAGUAAAAUAUUCUUUCAAAUAUUUCAAAUCUAAGAUAUUGUUAUCACUAAUCUCAGGUUUUAUAUCAAAAUACUUUAUUAAAGGAUUAAUCCUGCUUUUGAAGAUACUAUUAAUUCUUGCUUGAUCAUAAUAUGUAAGACUUGUAUUUAUAACAAAGACUUGUAUUUCAGAUGAAUAAACC
rnacentral:antisense_RNA from 1 species